rnacentral:rRNA from 1 species
UACGUAGGUGGCAAGCGUUGUCCGGAAUUAUUGGGCGUAAAGCGCGGGCAGGCGGUCCUUUAAGUCUGAUGUGAAAGCCCACGGCUCAACCGUGGAGGGUCAUUGGAAACUGGGGGACUUGAGUACAGAAGAGAAGAGUGGAAUUCCACGUGUAGCGGUGAAAUGCGUAGAGAUGUGGAGGAACACCAGUGGCGAAGGCGACUCUUUGGUCUGUAACUGACGCUGAGGCGCGAAAGCGUGGGGAGCAAACAGG